ACGAGGAUCCUCCAGGACGCCAACUUGGGAGCGAAGUUGUUUAGUUGUUUCCAACGGACCUUUCCCAAGUCGAUACAGAUGAAUAUAGACCUCCUGUUUGGAAAUCCUACUUGUAUCAGCUGCAACAGGAAGCCCCUC